AGACCUUGACAGUUGUAACCGAUAGACUGGGCUGGGGCAACGCUGAUGAAAGGCAAAUUCCUGAGAGAAAAAUCACCCAGAUUUUUCAGUGCCUUCUCUAGCUUUCUAGAAGUUGUUAUGAGUGGACCUGACUACCUAGAGAGAGUAAUACAGAAGCUCCGUGCCGAUCACAGCUACCUCAUUACCAUGUUCCUCCAAGAUGGCCGCCCCUGAGGAGAAUCAUCAACUGGGCUUUACGGAAGAGAGAAAUCCAAACGACCAUCAGCAACAAAUGAAAGACUGAAGUUGAAAGGCAAGUCUUCAGAUUUGAAUUUCAAGAUUGUCAAGAAUGACGAGUUGGACUUGGUCUAGUUACUUCCACAGCAGCAGGAGGAACAUGUGUGUGACUCAGGAUAACUGGGGAAGCCUUGGCUAGGCUUUCCUCAUGUCAACCUACCACUCAAAGGGAGAAAACCUCCUGAUCAGAGGUGCCCAGAACCCAGGAAAUCCAUAAUUUUUGAAUGCUGGCCGAGGUCUGUGACCUCUGACUGAAUGGUUUCCAAGCUCCGAAUUCCUAGGUGAUGUUUUCAUUUGUUCACACUUGCUGAAGAAGGGAAAGGCUCUCUGAUUUACGUGUAAGCAAAACAAUCUAAACAGUAGGAUAAAAUCAUGUUGGAAUGGAGUUCUGUGUGGAUGCUCCUUUGAACCAAAUCAGUUCCACAACUGACCCUGUCAGGGACAUAUAAAUUUAGCAUUUUGGUGUGGAUACAGAAGACGAGAUUAACACAGAUCAAGUAACAUGGAAAUAAAAAAGGAGACAAUGCUGGAUGAUACAGGGGCAGCCAACAAGAGGAGAAAACCCAAGCAUUGGCAAAUGCCUCAUUAUCCAAAGAACACUGAGGUGUGGAGCAAAACUGUGUUGAAUGAACUGUAGAUGGAAAUUCUCUCCUUCCCACCGAGGAGCCGCUGCAGGUUGCAGACUCCCAGAAUGCCACACUGAGAAGAGGAGGGCUAAAAUUCUAGAGCAGAAUCCCUGGGGCAGCCCCUGCUGAAGAAGGGUGCAUCUGUUGAGAAUCUCAUCACCGCCCCCACCCCGCCCAGCCUUCAAUUUAGAGGAAUUUCUAGUUCACGCAGAAUGAAGACAAGAUCACAUAAGUGAGGACGACGCCCCAUUUACAAGUGUGAUUUGGAAGACUGAAGUGGAAACCUUGGGAAGGGGCCUCAGAGUAUGUCAGCUGGGGUCAGACGGGAACAGGAGUCUGGCUCAACACACAUUUAUUGCACUCCUGUUUCAUGCCAAGAAAUGUACCAAAAUCUGGGACUGUGUAACACAGCAAAGGAAAAGACUCAUCUCCAGGAAGCCCCCUUGUCUAGGAAGAGAAAUUGAAUAUCAGCAUAAGGUGGUGAAAAGCUGUGAAGGAGAUGAGUGCCAGGAGUCCAUGGAGGAAGGAUUCUAGCCUGGACAGGUGAUUGUGGUGAAUAGUCAUGAGAAUCUGGGAACUGGCUCCUGCUCUGUCUAUCUUGGAGAUGCAUCUUUUGUGAGAAGCCAGGGCAAGAAUAGGGAGGCUUAGGCAAUGGGAAGUUUCUGAGUAGAUAAAGCAGAUGGCAGAGCAAAGGGACAGAGCCUGGCGAGAGGCUACUCCCUGUAGCAACCUGCCUAAGAGUGAGAGGAAAGCAAGGCAUGGCUAUGAGCACGUGUAGUCUCAGCUACUUGGGAAGCUGAGGCUGGGGGAUCACUUGAGCCCAGGAGUUCAAGACCAGCCUAGGCAACAUAGUGAGACCAUGUCUCUUUAAAAAAAAAAAAAAAAAGAAAAA
ensembl:lncRNA LINC01206 long intergenic non-protein coding RNA 1206